UACGUAGGCAGCGAGCGUUGUUCGGAGUUACUGGGCGUAAAGGGUGUGUAGGCGGUUCUUUAAGUUUAGUGUGAAAUCUCCCGGCUCAACCGGGAGGGUGCGCCGAAUACUGAGGGACUUGGAGUGCGGGAGAGGAAAGUGGAAUUCCUGGUGUAGCGGUGAAAUGCGUAGAUAUCAGGAGGAACACCGGUGGUGUAGACGGCUUUCUGGACCGUAACUGACGCUGAGACACGAAAGCGUGGGUAGCAAACAGG
rnacentral:rRNA from 1 species